CCCGGCCUGUGUCAGCGCCGCGCGCCGCGACCCGGGCUCGGUACUCGCCGGCUGACAUGGCGGAGGUGGGUCGGGCAGCCGUGCGUGACUCGGGAGGGCUGCUCCCCGGAGGCUUCUGGGGGGCCGUGGCAGUGUGGCUGGAGAGGCCGCAGGUGGUCAACAAACGGCUGUGCGGCGCCCGGCUGGAGGCCCGCCGGAACGUCGUCCUGCCCCGGGCUGAGGGCCCAAGCGCAGACCCUGAGCAGGAGGAGUUGGGUCCUUCUGUGCGCCGGAUGGAAGAGGGACUGGGCCCCGGCUCCAGCUCGCCAGGAGGACUCCAGGAGGGUACACCGUGUCGCGGACGUGGGGAGGCCCGGGACCAGCUCCAGCAGACACAGAAGGAAGCAACCUUACCGCCUCUGGUAGCCGGAGAUGCGGGGCAGCCCGGCAAGACGGGAGGCAGGGAGGGCGACUUCCCCACCGCGGAUCUGGAUUCGCUCUGGGACGAUUUCUCUACAAGUCUGGAGGGUAGCAAUCCCGAGAUGUUGGCUUUCCUCACCCGUCCUGGGGCGCAGCGCGAAUUCGAGGUGAUUCUCAGAACCGUCAUACCUAAAAUGAGCCCUCAUUCCCGGCUUGUAGCCCCGAGGAGAGAAAUAGUCGUGCAAGAUAUCUUCAAUGGAGCUGUCACUUUUUUACCUCUGGAAGAAGAUGAUGAGGGGAAUUUAAAAGUUAAGAUGAACAAUGUGUAUCAAAUUCAGCUCAGUCAUUGCAAGGAAGAAUGGUUCAUGUCUGUUUUAAUUUUCUGUCCAGAAGGAUGGCAUUCAGAUGGAAUUCUGUAUCCCAAACCCCCCUGGCUUGGAGAAGAAUUGUUGGCCAAGUUGGCCAAGUGGUCUGUGGAGAACAAAAGGAGUGAAUUUAAAAGCACCCUUUCCCUCAUUUCCAUUAUGAAAUACAGCAAAGCUUACCAGGAACUUAAAGAGAAGUAUAAAGAAAUGGUUAAGGUGUGGCCUGAAGUAACAGAUCCUGAGAAGUUUGUAUAUGAAGAUGUGGCUAUUGCUACAUACCUGCUGAUUCUAUGGGAAGAAGAAAGGACCAAGAGGGGAGUAACUGCCAAGCAGUCUUUUGUUGACUUGGGUUGCGGCAACGGGCUCCUGGUCCACAUCCUGAGCAGUGAAGGGCAUCCAGGCAGAGGGAUUGAUGUCCGAAGAAGGAAAAUCUGGGACACGUAUGGACCUCAGACUCAGUUAGAGGAAGCUGCAAUAACACCUAAUGAUAAAACCCUUUUCCCUGACGUUGAUUGGCUGAUUGGUAACCAUUCUGAUGAACUCACACCAUGGAUACCUGUUAUUGCAUCCAGGUCUUCCUAUAGUUGCCGCUUCUUUGUCCUUCCUUGCUGCUUCUUUGACUUCGCUGGAAAAUACCACCGGAGGCAGAGUAAGAAGACUCAGUACCGAGAGUACCUUGAUUUCAUUAAAGAAGUGGGAUUUGCCUGUGGAUUUCAUGUAGAGGAAGACUGCCUUAGAAUUCCUUCAACCAAAAGAGUCUGUCUCAUUGGGAAAUCCAGAACAUACCCUCCCACUGCAGAGCCUUUGGUUGAUGAGCAGAGGACUCAGUACAUCACCAGCAGGCGGGGCUGCCCUGUGCGCCUGCCUCGUGGAAAGCCUUCCUCUUCUUCACCCCGGGUAGCUGCUGGCUGUCCCCACGAUGGUCACAGAGCCCUGGACGUCAGAGUUGAGUGUGCCCCCGAGGCCAAGGCUACUACUGAGCAUGGAGCAGAGGUCCAGGUGGAAGGACCCUGGCUGCCAGGCUUUCACCCCAGAGACAAAGCUGAACGCGUGAGGAAUUGUGCCACCCUCCCCCGAGACUUUAUUGACCAAGUGGUUUUGCAAGUGGCCAAUUUGUUGUUAGGUGCAAAGGAAUUAAACCCAAGAAGUUCUCAGAAUGGGAGUUUGAAGACCUGGAAUGGAGGAGAGAGCCUUUCCCUGGCAGAAGUAGCCAGUGAGCUGGACAAGGAGACCCUGCAGAGGCUGAAGCGAGAGUGUGGGGGCCUACAGACGCUGCUCAGAAACAGUCACCAGGUGUUCAAAGUUUUGAAUGGGAGAGUUCACAUUCGCGAUUGGAGAGAAGAGAAGCUACAGAAGAAAAAGCAACCAGAAGCAAAACGGAGACUGUUUUCUGAAUCCUUCAAAACCCGCGUCUGCUGGUUUUUCACCCAUCACCCUGACGGCUGCGUUCUGCCCUCAGACUGCUGCCCAUUUGCCCAUGGGCCUGGGGAGCUGCGGCCCUCUCAGGCCGCCAAGAGGAAAAGGCCGAUUCCGUGAGCUGCCCGCUGAGACCUGGCGGGCUGGCUGAGCAGGAAGGAAUGCUGCCAGCUCUCCUGGGCACUGUGCUUCUGUGCAGCCGUUCCUUCUGCCUCUGUCCAGACUCUCACGGUGCCACGGCCGCACUUCAUCAACAGUGAGCCAGAGAAGCCAACAUCACCAACCCCACUGGGUGCUGCGUUUGUCUUCAAUGUGGUCACUUAAAUGUGCGCAGCGUCUUUGCGUCAGAGGACAUGUGCGGGUCCUUGUCGCAUCUCCUGGGGAGAGCAGCUUGGGAGACCUUCCGAGGCCCUUCCAGGGCCUGUUCUGACUGUCAGUCACGCUACACUGGUGUCUCUGUGGAGAGACAGGACACGGGAGAAGUAUAGCUGUGUCUGCCAAGCCUCCUGCGCUGGGGGGCAAACGCCAGUUCCAGCACCUCCUCACCGGUCAGUUCCUCAGGAGAGCCUCCUGCCAUCACCGGGCAGCACAGGGCAGGGUCCAGGUUGUCAGCUCCAGCCUUGACGAUGUUUGCUGCUUCCUCAGAUUUGGCAAAUCCCCUUCGUGUGACUUUUUCCAGAUGUCCCUCACACAGUUUUUGGCAGCACCACCCCAAGCCCAGGCACGUUUCUUGACGGUGUCGUGGAUGUUGGGAUCUUCACAGAAUUGCAGCAGUAUCCUCCUCAGUUGCAGCAACUGCCUAGGCAAGGGGCCUUGGGUCGUAGGCCUGAAAAGCUGCUGUAGCUCCUUGGUCCUGUGGUUGGGUUGAAGGUGCUAUUUGGAAGGAGAAGCACCACUUUGAUACUGGGAGGAAGAUCACUGGCAGGAGGAGGGUGUGAAAGAGCAUUGUCCACCGUGAGCAAAGUCUCAAAAGGUGUGCCAACGUGCAGGGCAGCUGGGGCGUCUGGAAAGAGGGGCUGGGUGAGCUGUGACUUCCUGCUGCUCCUGCGUGUGCUGGCCCUGGGUCCUCACUGUGCCAGACCAUGAGGUGUUUCUAUUUGUCACCUGCAGCCCUGCCUCCAAGCAAGACUGUCACCCUAUGCUUAAAAGUUUUGAAACCUGGUGUCAACUGGGCCUCCUCCCGGAUGGAAGUCAUUUCAGGCAUCUGUUCCCAGAACAGAGGUUUCAUCCAUGCUGAAGAUUUGCUCUAGCAAGUAAUUUCCCCCCACACUCAGCUUAUCUAGAAUUUCUAAAAAUUCUUCAUCUGCCUUCACAUCAGCCCUGGAAGACUUGCCCUUCAUUCUCACAGUAUGUAGUGAAUAAGGAUUCUGGAAUCAGCCACCUGGAACUAACUAAAGCAGCUCUGUAGCUGUGUUCAGCCUUUUCUUUUGUCUUGGCCAUGGUUGUCAUGGUGCUGAUAGGGGCAGGGGCACCCUGCUUCGGUGCCUGGUCUGUGUCUGAUAGAAGCUGUUCUUAAACCUUGUUAGUCUCAUUACCUUCAAAGAAGCAGAUCCCUGCCUGUCACUUGCUCCUGCUGUGAGACUUGCCCCUAUGGCGGGGCGGGCCGUGCCUGGCUGGAGCAUGGCAGCUGUCUUUGAUUUUCCGUUGUCAUGGUCUUCAGCCACUUUUCUUCGUUUUCAGGUCAAUCACUGGGUAGGGCCUCCUGCUGGCAACGUUAGCCCUGGAUUUUUUUAUCCCCAGGGGCCAAUGAGGAACAGAACCAUAGGAUUAAGAUAAGCCAAAGAAAAAAAGAUGUGAUCAGGAGACACAGUAAACACAAGGCUGGCACCUGGUGUUCUGUUCAUGAUGGGCUUGGUUUUUAUAAAUAGGAGGACACUCUAAUGACAAAAAAAGUGUAGGAUAGUAAAUAAGCCAGUAAUACAGUGGGUUGUGACCACUUUCAGUGUGUGCCGUGCACAGCUGGAAGCGUGUAGGUUUGCUCACACCAGCAGCACCACAAACACACCAGGCAUAUGUCACACAUUGGUGUUAGAGUGACUACAGCGUCACUAGGCAAUAGGAAUUUUUCAGCUCCAUUACAUUCUUACGGGACCACCGUCUCCAUGUGUUCCAUCAUAGACUGAAAUGUUACAUUAAAAAUGGCCAAGGAAGUGGCUGCCAUGACUGGUCUGACCACUGUGGGGGUCCUCCGUCAGAGGGGGACAACUUUUUGAAGUUCUUGGGUUGGGAGAACCCAGGUCAGGGGUAGAGAGAAGGCUCGAGGUGGACUCGGAGGCCUGCAGUGCCCCUCACAGCCCCAUUGCACUUGACAGUUUGUGUGCUUUGCCCUUGUUAAACCUCUCUCCCAUGAGUGUCAGUGAUCUGGUGUCACAGAGGAGUAAACUGAGGCUCAGAAAUUAAAGGACUUGCCCAGAGUUACACGGCAACUGCCAGAGCCAAGAUUUACAGGCUGGGCUGCCACCUCCCAGCAGGUCUCUUAAAAUUCGAGGCCUGGGGCCAGAGGGACGCGUGCAGUUUAGUGUGGUGGCCGUGCAUUUGUUUUUCACCUCCCAGUGAUGGCACAAGGUGCUGGUCUCUCAUUGGUGGUCAUGAACUAAAGCGUACUUUCAAGAUGAAGCCAAUUCAGGACAAAGUGAGUCAAUAAAAAAUAGUAACUACAUGAUACCCUGUUUCCCGAAAAUAAGACAGUGUCUUAUAUUAAUUUUUGCUCCCAAAGAUGCGCUAGGUCUUCUUUUCAGGGGAUGUCUUAUUUUUCCAUGAAGAAGAAUACGGUACACAUUUAUUGUUCGCGGCGACCCGUCCGCUCUGAUCCUCCUGUUCUUAUACACGCAUCUGUGAAAGUCUCCUCCCCUCUCCGCCCCCGCGCUCACCGCUCACUCUGACCUCCGCUCCGCCUCCACACAGCAGUGACUCAGGACUCCGCCUAACGUCACUGGUUGCUAGACGCCAGUCAAGGCGGCCCUAGCAACCAGUUUAUGGUAAAUUAAUUUUCAUUCCGAGACAGAGCCUGGGGGGGCCUUAUUUUCAGGGGGAUGCCUUAUAUUUCACCCAGAAGGAAACCUGUAAGUAGAUCUUAUUUUCGGAGGAUGUUUUAUUUUCGGGGAAACACGGUAGUUGAGUUGGUACAUGGAGGGGGCUGAACCUGCGAAGGUGGGUCUUGAGUGAUGCAAGUUUGUGAAUGGUGGUCUUACUAUUAACCCGUCUACCAAAGGAAAAUAAACUGUCAAAGACAGUAAAAGAAAUAAACUCAUAGCACAUCAUUUCCCCUCUGAAAACUCCCAGCAUAACCACCCUCUUUGUUUAAUUAGAACACCUGUGGCCUAACUUACUAUUUCUGAAAAAUUUAUUUUCUCAGCCUGGAAAAAGUUGUUCUGCGUGAGGGGGGAUGGUCCCGUACAUCUCUCACUAUUCAGAGAAAACAAACUAUAUUAUCAACCUGCUGCCUGGGAAACAGAAAGAAAAGAGCCAAAAAGGCCGUUUUCAGCUGUCUCCUGCUACUGGGCUGCAGUCAUAAAUCCCCCAACCCCUCUUCCAUCUGCUGAAAUGAGAGUCCAAGCCUCCCUCAUUUCUGGUGCUGAGCCCUCUUUUUUCUUCAGAGAAGGAGUGAAAAAACUAUGCAGCUUUUCCAAAUGAGGAUUGCAGUCCCCAAGAGGGGAAAGGAGUCCAUCCGGGACACUGCUGGGUGAUUGAUUAAAACCACAUAUUAAUUUCUCCGGCAGAUGCCAGACAGAGCCUUGGGGUAGCCAGGGAAUUUUUCUUCCUUGUGCAAUUAGCAGUGUAAUGCUUUUUAAUGAAAAGAGGCUGCAGGAGGCCUUUGUGGUGGGGCUCUAGGUCUCCCUUUUCCAUGCAUAGAUGUUACCCAGGUGGGGAUAGUGUGCUGGUUUGACCCCUGGGGCCUUCUGCUCUUUGCCAUCAGGCCAGGAUGGAUGGUGGGGGUGGGGUGUUACUGAGUGGCCGAGAACUACUGGGGCAGAGAGAAGGAAUUACACCUCCCCCGGAGCUAACAACACCACCUGCAGCCUCAAACUCCUUGUCUUAAGUGAUCCUCCUGUCACAGCUUCCUGAGUAGCUAAGGUUACAGGUGCCACCAUGCCCAACUUGCCUGGGGUUUAAAUCUGCAUCUUUAAUGUUUCCAGUCUACCUAAGAUCGGUGUCACACGGAACAUGCAGCCUCACAGGUCCAUUCUUGUGCCUCCUGUCCUCCGUACUGUUGUCACACAUUUUCUUUCUCACAUUAUAAUCUUAAAGCACAGGUUAUUUUACUGUUUCUUGUCCUCUCCGUUCCUUCCUGCACACGGGAAUUUCCAUCUGCCCUCCUUCAGCCCGAAGGGCUUCCUGUGGCAUUUCUCGUGCUGUGGCUCUGCUGGCAACAUAACCUCACACCUUUGGUUUGUCUGACAACUGGCUUUAUUUUGUCUCCACUUUUGAAAGGAAUUUUAGUUGUAUAUAAGGUUAUAUCUUGACAUCUUUUUUCUUUCUGCAUUUUUCUUUUUUUUGGAGACAGAGCCUCAAGCUGUCGCCCUCGGUGGAGUGCUGUAGCAUCACAGCUCACAGCAACCUGCAACUCCUGGGCUCAAGCGAGUCUCCUCCCUCCGCCUCCCAAGUAGCUGGGACUACAGGCACCUGCCACAAGGCCCGGCUGUUUUUUGGUUGCAGCCAUCAUCGUUGUUUGGCGGGCCCGGGCUAGAUUCGAACCCACCAGCUCAGGUGUAUGUGGCUGGCGCUUAGCCACUUGAGCCACAGGCGCCGAGCCUUCUUCCUGCAUUUUAAAGUUGUUAUCCAUUGUCUUUUGCCCUCCAUAGUGUUUUCAAAGAAGUUAAUCCUGAUUUGUAUUGUUGUACACUGUAUGCAGGGAAUAUUUUUUGUCUAGAUGAUUUAAAAAUUUUUCUUUCAGCAGUCGGAUAUGUCAAUAGAAAAGAGGCCUAACUCUGUAAAAUAAUUUGAAGAGACAAGUUUAUUCUAAGACACAUAUGAGAACCAUGGGCCAGAGCCAUGCCCAGGAAGCCUUGAGCCCCUGGACUUGCCAUGAUUGGGUUCCAGUCUGGUUCUAUACAUCUCAGGGAGACAGGAAUUCCAGUAAAUCAAUGUGUGGAAGGAGCAGAUCGAGGUGGCCUGAAAAGGUGG